CUUCUCUCUUGCAGGCUUGUGAUUUCUUGGAUGAGUCGAAAUGGAGAUGGUCAAAGAAUUCCAUGAAAUCUAUGCAAAUCAGUUGGCAUGUUCCUUGAUGGAGUGAGGGGUGAGCGUGGCGUCUGUAACCCAAAGUGCUAAUAGGAACAAGUGGGCCUGAGUCUGGCUGUGCCCACCGACCUGAGGGGCCCAGUGGGCACUACGCAAAUAGGUCCUUAAUGUUUGGCUGGAGUUGAGAAACGCAGUGACCAUUGUGACACGCGGGUUUGCUUGCCAAAGCAGGAAGCACGAAUUCAAGUCGGAAGGAAGGAUCAUAGUCAGCAUCCCGCCAUACCAACCAGUCUAAUUUUACUUAACAAUUAAAAAAUAAAUAAAACCUAUAGUGUAUCA
rnacentral:lncRNA from 1 species